GCGGGUGGGCCGGCUCGCGCGGAAGGCAGGCAACCUCCCUGUCACGGGCCUGGCUCCUGUGAAAAGGGGGCGCCCGGGCACGGCGACCGGGAACCUGGGCCCACAUCACUUUAACUCUCCUUGCCAAGAAGGGGCCGGUACAGUUGCAGACGCCGAUUUAUGUAGAACUUGGUGGCAUUUUUCUUGGUUGCAUCACUCUAUAUCACUGCGCGGGAGCCAAAUAUGGUAAAAUAGUCAUAAUCUCGAGGUUUGUGAGUUCGAGGCCAGCAUUGGGCCCUGCACGCAGUAUGGAGCCUGCCUGGGAUUCUCUCACCGCCCUUCCCCCGCCACUCGCAGUGUCUCUGUCUCUCUCAAAAUAAAUAAACUUAAAAAUAAAUAAAUAUACAAAUAAUGAAUUAAAAAA